rnacentral:rRNA from 1 species
CUGCUCAAUGAAUAAUUUUAAAUAGCUGCAGUAUAAAUAACUGUACAAAGGUAGCAUAAUAAUUUGUUUUUUAAUUGAAAACUAGAAUGAAUGAUUAAAUGAAAUAUAAACUAUAUCAAAUUUAAAAAAUAAAUUUAUUAUUUAAAUAAAAAAAUUUAAAUAAAUUUUAAAGACGAGAAGACCCUAAAGAAUUUUAAUAAUAAAUUAUACUAUAAAUUUAAAAUUUAUUAUAUUAAUUGGGGAAAUUUUAAAAUUUAAAAAAUUUUUAAUUAAAUAAACAUAAAUUUUUGAAUAUUUAAAAUUUUUUAAAAAAUUAAAUUAAAUUACCUUAGGGAUAACAGCAUAAUUUUUUUAAAAAG